rnacentral:rRNA from 1 species
ACGCUGGCGGCGUGCCUAAUACAUGCAAGUAGAACGCUGAAGAGAGGAGCUUGCUCUUCUUGGAUGAGUUGCGAACGGGUGAGUAACGCGUAGGUAACCUGCCUUGUAGCGGGGGAUAACUAUUGGAAACGAUAGCUAAUACCGCAUAACAAUAGGUGACACAUGUCAUUUAUUUGAAAGGGGCAAUUGCUCCACUACAAGAUGGACCUGCGUUGUAUUAGCUAGUAGGUGAGGUAACGGCUCACCUAGGCGACGAUACAUAGCCGACCUGAGAGGGUGAUCGGCCACACUGGGACUGAGACACGGCCCAGACUCCUACGGGAGGCAGCAGUAGGGAAUCUUCGGCAAUGGGGGCAACCCUGACCGAGCAACGCCGCGUGAGUGAAGAAGGUUUUCGGAUCGUAAAGCUCUGUUGUAAGUCAAGAACGAGUGUGAGAGUGGAAAGUUCACACUGUGACGGUAGCUUACCAGAAAGGGACGGCUAACUACGUGCCAGCAGCCGCGGUAAUACGUAGGUCCCGAGCGUUGUCCGGAUUUAUUGGGCGUAAAGCGAGCGCAGGCGGUUUGAUAAGUCUGAAGUUAAAGGCUGUGGCUCAACCAUAGUUCGCUUUGGAAACUGUCAAACUUGAGUGCAGAAGGGGAGAGUGGAAUUCCAUGUGUAGCGGUGAAAUGCGUAGAUAUAUGGAGGAACACCGGUGGCGAAAGCGGCUCUCUGGUCUGUAACUGACGCUGAGGCUCGAAAGCGUGGGGAGCGAACAGGAUUAGAUACCCUGGUAGUCCACGCCGUAAACGAUGAGUGCUAGGUGUUGGAUCCUUUCCGGGAUUCAGUGCCGCAGCUAACGCAUUAAGCACUCCGCCUGGGGAGUACGACCGCAAGGUUGAAACUCAAAGGAAUUGACGGG